AACCCUGAACGAGCAAUGCCGCGUGAGUGAAGAAGGUCUUCGGAUCGUAAAGCUCUGUUGUAAGUGAAGAACGGCUCAUAGAGGAAAUGCUAUGGGAGUGACGGUAGCUUACCAGAAAGCCACGGCUAACUACGUGCCAGCAGCCGCGGUAAUACGUAGGUGGCAAGCGUUAUCCGGAAUCAUUGGGCGUAAAGGGUGCGUAGGUGGCGUACUAAGUCUGUAGUAAAAGGCAAUGGCUCAACCAUUGUAAGCUAUGGAAACUGGUAGGCUAGAGUGCAGAAGAGGGCGAUGGAAUUCCAUGUGUAGCGGUAAAAUGCGUAGAUAUAUGGAGGAACACCAGUGGCGAAGGCGGUCGCCUGGUCUGUAACUGACACUGAGGCACGAAAGCGUGGGGAGCAAAUAGGAUUAGAUACCCUAGUAGUCCACGCCGUAAACGAUGAGAACUAAGUGUUGGAGGAAUUCAGUGCUGCAGUUAACGCAAUAAGUUCUCCGCCUGGGGAGUAUGCACGCAAGUGUGAAACUCAAAGGAAUUGACGGGGGCCCGCACAAGCGGUGGAGUAUGUGGUUUAAUUCGAAGCAACGCGAAGAACCUUACCAGGCCUUGACAUGGAAACAAAGGCUCUAGAGAUAGAGAGAUAAAUAUGGAUCACACAGGUGGUGCAUGGUUGUCGUCAGCUCGUGUCGUGAGAUGUUGGGUUAAGUCCCGCAACGAGCGCAACCCUUGUCGCAUGUUACCAGCAUCAAGUUGGGGACUCAUGCGAGACUGCCGGUGACAAACCGGAGGAAGGUGGGGAUGACGUCAAAUCAUCAUGCCCCUUAUGGCCUGGGCUACACACGUACUACAAUGGCGACCACAAAGAGCAGCGACACAGUGAUGUGAAGCGAAUCUCAUAAAGGCCGUCUCAGUUCGGAUUGAAGUCU
rnacentral:rRNA from 1 species